rnacentral:rRNA from 2 species
UAUAAGAUCCCUCAAAGAUGAUGAGGUUAAUAGGUUCGAGGUGGAAGCGUAGCGAUACGUGGAGCUGACGAAUACUAAUCGAUCGAAGACUUAAUCAAUUU